CUAAUUAUAAGAGCCAAAAAUAAAUUCACAAGGUAAAUUAUAUACAUCAAUUAUAAAAAAGGCUUCAAAAAUCUAUAAUAAAAAUAAUUUAUAUUUCUUAUAAAUCUUUAUUUAUCUUCAUAUUAAACUUGAUAAGGUCAUUUAUCAUUAUAUGCCAAUAUGUUGGAAGACAAUAAGGUAAAAGUAUUUUUGUCAAAUGUAACUAUUGCAAGAAAAGUCUGCCGAACCGACCCAAACCGAGUAGUUUGGCCCGUAACGAGUUGGACCAACACCAACCUGUAAUGGUUCAACUUGUUGGGUCGGUUCGGCC
rnacentral:lncRNA from 1 species